rnacentral:misc_RNA from 1 species
GAUGAAGAACGUAGCGAAAUGCGAUAAGUAAUGCGAAUUGCAGAAUUUCCGUGAGUCAUCGAAUCUUUGAACGCACAUUGCGCCCACUGGUAUUCCGGUGGGCAUGCCUGUUCGAGCGUCAUUAUCCUCCCUCAAACCCCGGGUUUGGUGUUGGACCCAAGUUGUGUGAACAACUGGUCUCAAAGACAAUGACGGCGUCCGUGGGACCCUCGGUGCAACGAGCUUUUAGGAGCACGCAUCGAGUGGCAAGGACCUUCCGGGCCGGUCUCCUUUACCAUUUACAAGGUUGACCUCGGAUCAGGUAGGAAUACCCGCUGAACUUAAGCAUAUCAAUAAGCGGAGGA